UUGGCUUAGAAGCAGCCAUCCUUGAAAGAGUGCGUAAUAGCUCACUGGUCAAGUGAUUCUGCGCCGAUAAUGUAGCGGGGCUCAAGUACACCGCCGAAGUUGUGGCAAUGACCUUUUUUGGUUGUUGGGUAGGGGAGCGUCGUGUAGCCGGUGAAGCUGCGGUGUAAACCAGUGGUGGAGGCUAUGCGAGUGAGAAUGCAGGCAUGAGUAGCGAAAGAUGAGUGAGAAACUCAUCCGCCGGAUGAUCAAGGGUUCCAGGGUCAAGUUAAUCUGCCCUGGGUUAGUCGGGGCCUAAGGCGAGGCCGACAGGCGUAGUCGAUGGAUAACGGGUUGAUAUUCCCGUACCGGUGAAAAACCGCCCAUACUGAUAUUGUGAUGCUAACCAUGCGAAGCAUGAUGUGCAGGCUUUUGUUUGUGUGUUGUGUGGGUUGUGGGACCCGAUCUUUGGAGGUAAACGUAUUAACAGGUGUGACGCAGGAAGGUAGCCAAGCCACGCGAUGGUUGUCGUGGUCUAAGCGUGUAGGGUUGUCGGUUGUUAAAUGCGCCGGCUGUGUGCCUGAGACGUGAUGGGACCCCGUUUUUGGGGGAUUUGGUGAUCCUAUGCUGCCGAGAAAAGCAUCGGCGUGAGGUUUUAGCCGCCCGUACCCUAAACCGACACAGGUGAUCAGGUAGAGAAUACUAAGGCGAUCGAGAGAAUCAUGGUUAAGGAACUCGGCAAAAUGCCCCCGUAACUUCGGGAGAAGGGGGACCUUGAGCGUGAUGGGCACUUGCUGCCUGGAGCGUGUAUGGGUCGCAGAGACCAGGGGGAAGCGACUGUUUAUCAAAAACACAGGUCCGUGCGAAGUCGUAAGACGAUGUAUACGGACUGACUCCUGCCCGGUGCUGGAAGGUUAAGAGGAUUGGUUAGCCCUUUUGGGCGAAGCUGAGAAUUUAAGCCCCAGUAAACGGCGGUGGUAACUAUAACCAUCCUAAGGUAGCGAAAUUCCUUGUCGGGUAAGUUCCGACCUGCACGAAUGGAGUAACGACUUCCCUACUGUCUCAACCAUGAACUCGGCGAAAUUGCAGUACGAGUAAAGAUGCUCGUUUCGCGCAGCAGGACGGAAAGACCCCGUGACCUUUACUAUAGUUUGGUAUUGGUGUUUGGUUUGGCUUGUGUAGGAUAGGUGGGAGACUGUGAAGCAUGGACGCUAGUUUGUGUGGAGUCGUUGUUGAAAUACCACUCUGGUCAAUCUGGAUGUCUAACUUCGGGCCAUGAUCUGGUUCAGGGACAGUGCCUGAUGGGUAGUUUAACUGGGGCGGUUGCCUCCUAAAGUGUAACGGAGGCGCCCAAAGGUUCCCUCAGCCUGGUUGGCAAUCAGGUGUUGAGUGUAAGUGCACAAGGGAGCUUGACUGUGAGACUGGCAGGUCGAGCAGGGACGAAAGUCGGGACUAGUGAUCCGGCGGUACGUUGUGGAACGGCCGUCGCUCAACGGAUAAAAGGUACCUCGGGGAUAACAGGCUGAUCUUGCCCAAGAGUCCAUAUCGACGGCAUGGUUUGGCACCUCGAUGUCGGCUCGUCGCAUCCUGGGGCUGGAGUCGGUCCCAAGGGUUGGGCUGUUCGCCCAUUAAAGCGGUACGCGAGCUGGGUUCAGAACGUCGUGAGACAGUUCGGUCCCUAUCCGCUGCGCGCGUUGGAAAUUUGAGAAAGGCUGUCCUUAGUACGAGAGGACCGGGACGGACGAACCUCUGGUAUGUCAGUUGUACCGCCAGGUGCAUGGCUGAUUGGCUACGUUCGGGAGGGAUAACCGCUGAAAGCAUCUAAGCGGGAAGCCUGUUUCGAGAUGAGAUUUCCUGGCACUUUUUGGUGUGUGAGGCUCCUUAUAGAUGAUGAGGUUGAUAGGCCGGGUAUGGAAGCGAGGACUGAAGACUCGUGGAGUUGACUGGUACUAAUAGGUCGAAGGCUUACUUU
rnacentral:rRNA from 1 species